rnacentral:rRNA from 1 species
AGAGUUUGAUCAUGGCUCAGGACGAACGCUGGCGGCGUGCCUAAUACAUGCAAGUCGAACGAGAAUUUCUUACACCGAGUGCUUGCACUCACCGUAAGAAAUUCGAGUGGCGGACGGGUGAGUAACACGUGGGUAACCUGCCCAAAAGAAGGGGAUAACAUUUGGAAACAAAUGCUAAUACCGUAUAACCAUGAUGACCGCAUGGUCAUUAUGUAAAAGGUGGUUCUGCUAUCGCUUUUGGAUGGACCCGCGGCGUAUUAACUAGUUGGUAGGGUAACGGCCUACCAAGGUGAUGAUACGUAGCCGAGUUGAGAGACUGAUCGGCCACAAUGGGACUGAGACACGGCCCAUACUCCUACGGGAGGCAGCAGUAGGGAAUCUUCCACAAUGGGCGCAAGCCUGAUGGAGCAACGCCGCGUGAAUGAAGAAGGUCUUCGGAUCGUAAAAUUCUGUUGUUAGAGAAGAAUAUGAGUAAUAGUAACUGAUUAUUCACUGACGGUAUCUAACCAGCAAGUCACGGCUAACUACGUGCCAGCAGCCGCGGUAAUACGUAGGUGGCAAGCGUUGUCCGGAUUUAUUGGGUGUAAAGGGAACGCAGGCGGUUUUUUAAGUCUGAUGUGAAAGCCUUCGGCUUAACCGGAGAUGUGCAUUGGAAACUGGAUGACUUGAGUGCAGAAGAGGAGAGUGGAACUCCAUGUGUAGCGGUGAAAUGCGUAGAUAUAUGGAAGAACACCAGUGGCGAAAGCGGCUCUCUGGUCUGUAACUGACGCUGAGGUUCGAAAGCAUGGGUAGCGAACAGGAUUAGAUACCCUGGUAGUCC